GGAGGCGUCGCAUAGUUGGUCUAGUGCGCCUGUCUUGAAAACAGGUACGCCGCAAGGCGUCGUGAGUUCGAAUCUCACCGCCUCCG
rfam:Parcubacteria (Nomurabacteria) bacterium GW2011_GWB1_43_7 TW02_C0006, whole genome shotgun sequence.